rnacentral:lncRNA from 1 species
AUGGAGGAAUGGGACAGUGCUAGAAUUGGAAACAAGGGACCCUGUUUGCCUCAGUCAACUGAAUGGCCAUAUCAUAUUGGAUUUUCUCCUCUGAGAAAAGGAUGCCAAGGAAACAUCCAAGUUAAUUUCGAUAUGCUGGGAAAAUUAAACUGGACCCUUUCUUCCUAUGGUGUGUUGGAUUGGCCAGAAAGGAGCUGAAAGGACAAUGAAAGAUGGCGAGUAUGAAUGAUACGCACGUAUACAUGAAUAAGCAACUCAGAGAAAAUGCUGAACUGUGAAAAGCCAAGGGAUUGGUAAAAUUAAGAAUAUGAUAACAUAAGCCACAGAAUUAAUUGGGUUAAGCAAACCGUUUUUUUUUUCCUUCUGGGGAAGAAUAUUAAAUCAAAGGAUGACUGACUUUAACAGCAUCCCAUUAAAUAAACAGACAUUUGUAUGCCA